rnacentral:rRNA from 1 species
ACGGGUGAGUAACGCGUGGGUAACCUGCCCUGUACAGGGGGAGUAACAGUCAGAAAUGACUGCUAAUACCGCAUAAGACCACAGCACCGCAUGGUGCAGGGGUAAAAACUCCGGUGGUACAGGAUGGACCCGCGUCUGAUUAGCUGGUUGGUGAGGUAACGGCUCACCAAGGCGACGAUCAGUAGCCGGCUUGAGAGAGUGAACGGCCACAUUGGGACUGAGACACGGCCCAAACUCCUACGGGAGGCAGCAUG